rnacentral:rRNA from 1 species
GCUAAUACCGCAUGAUGUCCAGACCUCGCAUGGGGACUGGAUCAAAGAGGGCCUCUGCUUGCAAGCUCUCGCCAAAGGAGGAGGUCGCGGCGUAUCAGCUAGUUGGUAGGAUAACGGCCUACCAAGGCUACGACGCGUAGUGGGUAUGAGAGGACGACCCGCCACAUUGGGACUGAGAUACGGCCCAGACUCCUACGGGAGGCAGCAGUGGGGAAUAUUGCGCAAUGGCCGAAAGGCUGACGCAGCGACGCCGCGUGUGGGAGGAAGCCCUUCGGGGUGUAAACCACUGUCGGAGGGGAAGAACCCCGUCAACUCGAAUAGGGUUGGCGGCUGACGGUACCCUCAAAGGAAGCGCCCGGCUAACUCCGUGCCAGCAGCCCGCGGUAAGACGGAGGGCGCAAGCGUUGUUCGGAAUUACUGGGCGUAAAAGCGCGAGCAGGUGGGUUGGUAAGUC